rnacentral:rRNA from 1 species
AUUCCAGCUCCAAUAGCGUAUAUUAAAGUUGUUGCAGUUAAAAAGCUCGUAGUUGAAUUUUGGGUUCGGUUGACUGGUCUGCCUUUGGUUUGAACUGGUCGACUGAACCUUUCCUUCUGGCGAACUCUUGUGCUAUUAAUUUAGUGCGAUUGGGAACCAGGACUUUUACUUUGAAAAAAUUAGAGUGUUUAAAGCAGGCUCACGCUUGAAUACAUUAGCAUGGAAUAAUAAAAUAGGACUUUGGUUUUAUUUUGUUGGUUUCUAAGACCGAAGUAAUGAUUAAUAGGGAUAGUUGGGGGCAUUAGUAUUUAGUCGUCAGAGGUGAAAUUCUUGGAUUGACUAAAGACUAACUUCUGCGAAAGCAUUUGCCAAGGAUGUUUUCAUUA